rnacentral:rRNA from 1 species
CUCUACGGCCAUGCCACCCUGAACAAGCCCGAUCCCGUCUGAUCUCGGAAGCUGAGCAGGGUUGGGCCUGGUUAGUAUUUGGAUGGGAGACCACCUAGGAAGACCAGGUGCUGUGGGCG